CCAAUAGCGUAUAUUAAAGUUGUUGCAGUUAAAAAGCUCGUAGUUGAAUUUCGGGGUUUAUCCGUUGGUCGGGCUUUUUGGUCUGUACUGGCGUGAUGGAUUCCUACCUUCUGAAUAACCAGCAUGCCAUUAAUUUGGUGCGUUGGGGAGGCAGGACUGUUACCUUGAAAAAAUUAGAGUGCUUAAAGCAGGCUAUUGCCUGAAUACAUUAGCAUGGAAUAAUGAAAUAGGACGCAUGGUUCUAUUUUGUUGGUUUCUAGGAUCACCGUAAUGAUUAAUAGGGAUAGUUGGGGGCAUUAGUAUUCAAUUGUCAGAGGUGAAAUUCUUGGAUUUAUUGAAGACUAACUUCUGCGAAAGCAUUUGCCAAGGAUGUUUUCAUUAAUCAAGAACGAAAGUUAGGGGAUCGAAGACGAUCAGAUACCGUCGUAGUCUUAACCAUAAACUAUGCCGACUAGGGAUCGGACGAUGUUAAUUUUUUAAUGACUCAUUCGGCGCCUUACG
rnacentral:rRNA from 1 species